rnacentral:rRNA from 1 species
AGAUUGAACGCUGGCGGCAGGCCUAACACAUGCAAGUCGAGCGGCAGCACGGGUACUUGUACCUGGUGGCGAGCGGCGGACGGGUGAGUAAUGCCUAGGAAUCUGCCUGAUAGUGGGGGAUAACGCUCGGAAACGGACGCUAAUACCGCAUACGUCCUACGGGAGAAAGCAGGGGACCUUCGGGCCUUGCGCUAUCAGAUGAGCCUAGGUCGGAUUAGCUAGUUGGUGGGGUAAUGGCUCACCAAGGCGACGAUCCGUAACUGGUCUGAGAGGAUGAUCAGUCACACGUAGACUGACGACGACGUCACGUA